ACGGCCGCAGUAUAUUGAAACACCGGUUCCCGUAACAUCAUUGAAAUUCAGCAACAUCGAGCCUGGUCAGUACCUAGAUGGGUGACCACUUGUGAAUACCAGGUGCUGUAA